UACAGAGGGUGCAAGCGUUAAUCGGAAUUACUGGGCGUAAAGCGUGCGUAGACGGUUAUGUAAGUCAGGUGUGAAAGCCCCGGGCUCAACCUGGGAAUUGCAUUUGAGACUGCAUAGCUAGGGUGCGGAAGAGGGAAGCGGAAUUUCCGGUGUAGCGGUGAAAUGCGUAGAUAUCGGAAGGAACAUCAGUGGCGAAAGCGGCUCCUGGUCCAGCACCGACGUCAGGCACGAAAGCGUGGGGAGCAAACAGGAUUGAGAGUACC
rnacentral:rRNA from 1 species